rnacentral:rRNA from 1 species
AGUGAACGCUGGCGGUAGGCCUAACACAUGCAAGUCGAACGGCAGCACAGUAAGAGCUUGCUCUUACGGGUGGCGAGUGGCGGACGGGUGAGGAAUACAUCGGAAUCUACUUUUUCGUGGGGGAUAACGUAGGGACACUUCCGCUAAUACCGCAUACGACCUACGGGUGAAAUCAGGGGAUCUUCGGACCUUGCGCGAUUGAAUGAGCCGAUGUCGGAUUAGCUAGUUGGCGAGGUAAAGGCCCACCAAGGCGACGAUCCGUAGCUGGUCUGAGAGGAUGAUCAGCCACACUGGAACUGAGACACGGUCCAGACUCCUACGGGAGGCAGCAGUGGGGAAUAUUGGACAAUGGGCGCAAGCCUGAUCCAGCCAUACCGCGUGAGUGAAGAAGGCCUUCGGGUUGUAAAGCCCUGUUGUUGGGAAAGAAAAGCAGCAGGUUAAUACCCCGCUGUUCUGACGGUACCCAAAGAAUAAGCACCGGCUAACUUCGUG